CCUACGGGAGGCAGCAGUGGGGAAUAUUGCACAAUGGGGGAAACCCUGAUGCAGCAACGCCGCGUGAGUGAUGACGGUCUUCGGAUUGUAAAACUCUGUCUUUGGGGACGAUAAUGACGGUACCCAAGGAGGAAGCCACGGCUAACUACGUGCCAGCAGCCGCGGUAAUGAGU
rnacentral:rRNA from 1 species